ensembl:lincRNA
CUCCCGGGUAGGGGCGGCAAGGGCCGGGUCGCCGCGCACCCCGAGCCCCGCCGCCAACCUGCUGUCUCUUGCAGCGACCACGGCAGCGCCGGGCACCCCCAGCACGGCCAGCCCCCCAUCCACAGCGGCACCUGGCACACCUUCUGCCCCCACGCCCACAGGAACCUCAGGCACAAGCGGGGCUUCUUCGCCCGUGGUAACGCGUUCAACUGGCACCAGCGGCCCGACGGAAGCGAACCCCACCACCAGCUCGGUGCCCGGGACCACGGCAGGGCCUGGCACCUCCAGUGCGGCCAGCACAGCAUCCACAGCGCCACCCGCCACAACUUCUGCUGCCACGCCCACAGGUACAUCUGGCACCAGCCGGGCUUCCUCGCCCGGGACAUCGCGUUCGCCUGGCACUAGCGCUAGCCCCGCACCCAGAGUCCACAACGCCACCUCGAGUGCCGCGACCACGGCAGCGCCGGGCACCCCCAGCACGGCCAGCCCCCCAUCCACAGCGGCACCUGGCACACCUUCUGCCCCCACGCCCACAGGAACCUCAGGCACAAGCGGGGCUUCUUCGCCCGUGGUAACGCGUUCAACUGGCACCAGCGGCCCGACGGAAGCGAACCCCACCACCAGCUCGGUGCCCGGGACCACGGCAGGGCCUGGCACCUCCAGUGCGGCCAGCACAGCAUCCACAGCGCCACCCGCCACAACUUCUGCUGCCACGCCCACAGGCACCUCUCGGAUACAUUCCAGCACAUCAGUAGCCCCUGGGAGUACGGUCACUGCAGCCCCAACUUCCCCUGGAGAAAGUGGAACGACUGGAGUCCGAAGCACUGCAGGUACUUCCAAGGAAACAUCUGAAACAAGCCCUGCUGCUGGAAGUACUACCACAAGAUGUCCAGAGACACGUCCGCCAGCUCCAGUUUGUCAUGGUCCACUGGGUGAAGAGAAAUCUCCUGGAGACAGUUGGACAUCCAAUUGCUAUCAGUGUACCUGUACUAAUGCAAAGACUGUGGACUGUCAACCUAAGGACUGUCCUUCUCUACCCACAUGCAAAACUGGCGAGAAGCUUGUUGUGUUUACAUCUAAUGACACCUGCUGUGAAGUUGGAUACUGUGAACCAAGAACAUGUUUCUAUAAUAAUACUGACUAUGAGAUCGGUGCUUCAUUUGAAGAUCCCAGCAACCCGUGCAUCUCCUACUCCUGCAGUGACACUGGCUUGGUCGCAGUAGUCCAAAGCUGCCCGAAGCAAACCUGGUGUGCAGAAGUAAGUUAUCUUCCCAAACAUCUACCAGCAAGAGCCCUCCUUGUUAAACACAAACCCAAACCAUUUCCUUACUCACUUGGAAAUGUUUGCACCUGACCAACAGAUUAAAUUUCAUUGAUAACACAGAUCUUUCAUUUAUCACAUCAGGAGCCAAAUGAUUCCAGGUCUAUUUACCUUUUACUAAGUAUGUAUGCUUUUCAUCUCAAGAAAGACUCAUAUUUUGCAGGCUCUAUAUAGCUUUUGUGCUACUGUAAGAAUAGUUGUAUGCAAGAUGUUUUGCUGUUUUUAUAAACAAAACUCAACUUUUUAUCAUUUUUAUAAAAAUAUAAAUAUUCAUAAUCACAUACAGGUACA